rnacentral:tRNA from 1 species
GAUGCCUCGGUAGCUCAGAGGUAGAGCUACUGCAUAUAGUGAGCGAAUGCGCCUAGCAACAACUAGCAGGUGGUCGCAGGUUCGAAUCCUGCCCGGUGGCUA